rnacentral:rRNA from 1 species
UACGUAGGGGGCGAGCGUUAUCCGGAUUUAUUGGGCGUAAAGGGCACGCAGGCGGUCGUGUAAGUUUGGGGUUACAGCUCCCGGCUCAACUGGGAGAGCGCCUUGAAGACUGCAGGACUUGAGGGCCACAGAGGGACACGGAAUUCCGGGUGUAGUGGUGAAAUGCGUAGAUAUCCGGAGGAACACCAGUGGCGAAGGCGACUUCCUGGCCUGUUCUUGACGCUGAGGCGCGAAAGCUAGGGUAGCAAACGGG